rnacentral:rRNA from 1 species
GGGGAUCUACCCAGUACUACGGAAUAACACAGAGAAAUUUGUGCUAAUACCGUAUACGCCCUUCGGGGAAAGAUUUAUCGGUAUUGGAUGAACCCGCGUUUGAUUAGCUAGUUGGUGAGGUAAUGGCUCACCAAGGCUACGAUCAAUAGCUGGUCUGAGAGGAUGAUCAGCCACACUGGGACUGAGACACGGCCCAGACUCCUACGGGAGGCAGCAGUGGGGAAUAUUGGACAAUGGGCGCAAGUGAUCCAGCCAUUCCGCGUGAGUGAUGACGGCCCUGGGGUUGUAAAGCUCUUUCAACGGUGAAGAUAAUGACGGUAACCGUAGAAGAAGCCCCGGCUAACUUCGUGCCAGCAGCCGCGGUAAUACGAAGGGGGCUAGCGUUGUUCGGAAUUACUGGGCGUAAAGCGCACGUAGGCGGAUUGUUAAGUUAGGGGUGAAAUCCCGGGGCUCAACCCCGAACUGCCUCCAAAACUAUCAGUCUAGAGUUCGAGAGAGGUGAGUGGAAUUCCGAGUGUAGAGGUGAAAUUCGUAGAUAUUCGGAGGAACACCAGUGGCGAAGGGGCUCACUGGCUCGAUACUGACGCUGAGGUGCGAAAGUGUGGGGAGCAAACAGGAUUAGAUACCCUGGUAGUCCACACCGUAAACGAUGAAUGCCAGUCGUCAGCAAGCAUGCUUGUUGGUGACACACCUAACGGAUUAAGCAUUCCGCCUGGGGAGUACGGUCGCAAGAUUAAAACUCAAAGGAAUUGACGGGGGCCCG